rnacentral:rRNA from 1 species
GACGAACCGUGCGAACGUUGUUCGGAUUCACUGGGCUUAAAGGGCGCGUAGGCGGAUGGUCAAGUCGGGGGUGAAAUUUUUCGGCUCAACCGGAAAAGUGCCUUCGAUACUGAUCAUCUCGAGGGAGGUAGGGGCAUGUGGAACUUCCGGUGGAGCGGUGAAAUGCGUAGAUAUCAAGUGGAACACCAGUGGCGAAGGCGAGUCUCUGGACAUUUCCUGACGCUGAGGCACGAAAGCCAGGGGAGCAAACGGG